rnacentral:miRNA from 1 species
GGGAAAGCAGGCCAACCUCGAGGAUCUCCCCAGCCUUGGCGUUCAGGUACUGGGGAGAUCCUCGAGGUAGGCCUGCUUCCCCUC